AUGAACAGGGAAGUCGGUGUUGGAGAUCUGGUCAAUGACGCAGAUCGGUUUACCAGUGACUGGUAUCGGAGUCGGCAAGAAACCGGCAAAAUCAUGGUUCUGAAUUGGAGCACGCUGGGGGAGGUUGCAGGUUGGGUUCCGAUCGGAGCCGUACGGACCGCGUGGAGGUUGUGCGAGGUGUUGGAGUCAAAUAGCGACUCUACUUUUGUCCUCUGUUCUUCUCUUCUCUGUCAACAAAUCUGGAAAAAAAAUCAAAACAAAAAAAGAACAAUCAACAAGAGUGAACAGAGAAAAACAUAA